GCGCGUCGUCUCCUUCUUCAUUUUUCCAUUCCUCCAUUUUCUUCUAAUUAUUGUUCUUUUCAAUUCCCAUUUUCUGCUCUAAUUUCUUCAUCUCAAUUUAACCAACUUUUUAUUCAUUCCACCCGCAAGAAUCAAAUCCUUACACAAUCCUUCAAAGAUCCCCUAAAAAAAAAAUCCUCAUGUCAAAUGCUUUUCGGCACGCAGCGGCAUCGCUGAAGACAGUAUUUGCCGCGGACUUCACGUCGUGGAAAGCGCGCGACCUCAGCUUCUCCUUGGCCGCCGAAAGGGCACUGAGUGGGGGCGCUGUAGUAGUUCGAGCAGAAGUUGUAAACCACCUUCAGAUUCGGAUCGCUGGUUUGGGAGAAGGGAUUGGAUUUUGGAGCUUGUUCUUGCGGCGCUCAUCGUCGUCGCGUUGCUACUGAAAACAAGAAGAAAUAUCACGUAACUGAGAAAAAUGAGGUGCAACCAGCUGCCAUGAAUGCCUUUGAGUUGAUUUUCAUGUCAAAAGGUCUGGAUCUUGGGAAUCUAUUUGAUGAACAAAUGGAUUCAAGAGAGAAACGAGGUUCACAUCUAAAUCCUUAGCAAAGGAUAUAAUUAGUAAAAAAGAGAGAAACAAGGUUCUCUCACCUGACGUUUCCUGUGCAGUGAGGUAUUCGAAUGGAAGUGGUGUUGGUGUUGUCUCAUAGUAUAAAUAUGAGACAUUUACGGUGAGAUGUGGCUUCUUGUGUUGCUUAGGCAAAUGCAAUCUCAACUGUAUAUAUAGGACCCUCUCUCCUUAUAUAAUGAAAAUCCC